rnacentral:rRNA from 1 species
UUGGUUAAGUUAGAAAGGGCGCACGGUGGAUGCCUUGGCACUAGGAGCCGAAGAAGGACGGGACUAACACCGAUAUGCUUUGGGGAGCUGUACGUAAGCGUUGAUCCAGAGAUUUCCGAAUGGGGGAACCCACUAUCUUUAGUCGGAUAGUAUCCUUACGUGAAUACAUAGCGUGAGGAAGGCAGACCCAGGGAACUGAAACAUCUAAGUACCUGGAGGAAGAGAAAGAAAAAUCGAUUUCCUGAGUAGCGGCGAGCGAAACGGAAAGAGCCCAAACCAAGAAGCUUGCUUCUUGGGGUUGUAGGACACUCUAUACGGAGUUACAAAAGAAAGUUAUAAAUGAAGCGGUCUGGAAAGGCCCGCCAAAGACGGUAACAGCCCGGUAGUUGAAAUAGCUUUCCCUCCAGAGUGGAUCCUGAGUACGGCGGAACACGUGAAAUUCCGUCGGAAUCCGGGAGGACCAUCUCCCAAGGCUAAAUACUCCCUAGUGACCGAUAGUGAACCAGUACCGUGAGGGAAAGGUGAAAAGCACCCCGGAAGGGGAGUGAAACAGUUCCUGAAACCGUGUGCCUACAAGUAGUUAGAGCCCGUUAAUGGGUGAUAGCGUGCCUUUUGUAGAAUGAACCGGCGAGUUACGAUUUGUUGCAAGGUUAAGCGGAAAAAGCGGAGCCGUAGCGAAAGCGAGUCUGAAUAGGGCGCAUAAGUAACAGGUCGUAGACCCGAAACCAGGUGAUCUACCCAUGUCCAGGAUGAAGGUAAGGUAAUACUUACUGGAGGUCCGAACCCACGCACGUUGAAAAGUGCGGGGAUGAGGUGUGGGUAGCGGAGAAAUUCCAAUCGAACUUGGAGAUAGCUGGUUCUCUCCGAAAUAGCUUUAGGGCUAGCCUCGAGGUAAAGAGUCAUGGAGGUAGAGCACUGUUUGGACUAGGGGCCCUUCUCGGGUUACCGAAUUCAGAUAAACUCCGAAUGCCAUGUACUUAUACUCGGGAGUCAGACUGCGAGUGAUAAGAUCCGUAGUCGAAAGGGAAACAGCCCAGACCACCAGUUAAGGUCCCCAAAUAUAUGUUAAGUGGAAAAGGAUGUGGGGUUGCUUAGACAACCAGGAUGUUGGCUUAGAAGCAGCCACCAUUGAAAGAGUGCGUAAUAGCUCACUGGUCGAGUGACCCCGCGCCGAAAAUGUACCGGGGCUAAACAUAUUACCGAAACUGUGGAUGAACCUCUUUAGAGGUUCGUGGUAGGAGAGCGUUCUAAGGGCGGUGAAGUCAGACCGGAAGGACUGGUGGAGCGCUUAGAAGUGAGAAUGCCGGUAUGAGUAGCGAAAGAAGGGUGAGAAUCCCUUCCACCGAAUAUC